rnacentral:rRNA from 1 species
UGGGGAAUUUUGGACAAUGGGCGAAAGCCUGAUCCAGCAAUGCCGCGUGUGUGAAGAAGGCCUUCGGGUUGUAAAGCACUUUUGUCCGGAAAGAAAUCCUUGGCUCUAAUACAGUCGGGGGAUGACGGUACCGGAAGAAUAAGCACCGGCUAACUACGUGCCAGCAGCCGCGGUAAUACGUAGGGUGCAAGCGUUAAUCGGAAUUACUGGGCGUAAAGCGUGCGCAGGCGGUUUGCUAAGACCGAUGUGAAAUCCCCGGGCUCAACCUGGGAACUGCAUUGGUGACUGGCAGGCUAGAGUAUGGCAGAGGGGGGUAGAAUUCCACGUGUAGCAGUGAAAUGCGUAGAGAUGUGGAGGAAUACCGAUGGCGAAGGCAGCCCCCUGGGCCAAUACUGACGCUCAUGCACGAAAGCGUGGGGAGCAAACAGGAUUAGAUACCCUGGUAGUCCACGCCCUAAACGAUGUCAACUAGUUGUUGGGGAUUCAUUUCCUUAGUAACGUAGCUAACGCGUGAAGUUGACCGCCUGGGGGAGU